rnacentral:rRNA from 1 species
GCUCAGUAAACACGUGACAACCUACCCAAGAGUCAGGGAUAACCCCGGGAAACUGGGGGAAUAACCUGAUAGGCCACGACAUCUGGAAUCGAGUUGUGGUUUAAACGUAAGGCUCUUGGAUGGGUCUGCGGCGGAUUAGGUUGUUGCCGGUGUAACGUACCAGCAAGCCUGUAAUCCGUACGGGUUGUGGGAGCAAGAGCCCGGAGAUGGAUUCUGAGACACGAAUCCAGGCCCUACGGGGCGCAGCAGGCGCGAAAACUCUACAAUGCAGGCAACUGCGAUAGGGGAACAUCGAGUGGCACCCACCAUGGGUGUCUGUCCAAUCGUCUAAAAAACGAUUGUCAGCAAGGGCCGGGCAAGACCGGUGCCAGCCGCCGCGGUAAUACCGGCGGCUCGAGUGGUGGCCGAUAUUAUUGAGUCUAAAGGGUCCGUAGCCGGCUUUGCAAGUCCCCUGGGAAAUCCAGCGGCUUAACCGUUGGGCUUUCAUGGGAUACUACAUUGCUUGGGACUGGGAGAGGUAGGAGGUACUCAGGGGGUAGGGGUGAAAUCCUGUAAUCCUUUGGGGACCACCGGUGGCGAAGGCGUCCUACCAGAACAGGUCCGACGGUGAGGGACGAAAGCUAGGGGCACGAACCGGAUUAGAUACCCGGGUAGUCCUAGCCGUAAACGAUGCUCGCUAGGUGUCACGGCAGUCGUGAAUUGUCGUGGUGCCGUAGGGAAGCCGUGAAGCGAGCCACUUGGGAAGUACGACCGCAAGGUUGAAACUUAAAGGAAUUGGCGGGGGAG